rnacentral:rRNA from 1 species
AUGCACGUCGUGCCGCUGAACCCCAAGGGGACAGACACCUUGACCGAUCUCAAAUUAGGAAUAGGAGAUCAGCCUGACCUGAGCAUGGCGAUUGGCCGGGUGAUCAGAGAGAGGAUGGAGAUGGCGACACGCCCUAAAAUUCACUUAGACAAAGGGGAAUUUUUGUUUGACCUUAUAAAGAUGAGGGUUGAGGAGGAAGAAGAUAUGUCAGUUGGAUGCCGGACUUGGAAGCCUGCCACUGGUCCAGGUAAUAUCCGAUAUCUCCCUCUCUCUCUCACCACCAAGAAAGGGGAAAAAGCGACGCUUCCGAAGCUCCCACCACCGCAAGGGUAG